AUUGAACGCUGGCGGCAGGCCUAACACAUGCAAGUCGAGCGGAGCGGCGGACGGGUGAGUAAUGCCUAGGAAUCUGCCUGGUAGUGGGGGAUAACGUCCGGAAACGGGCGCUAAUACCGCAGAGUAUCAGAUGAGCCUAGGGCGGAAUAGCUAGCUGGUGGGGUAAAUGCCUACCAAGGCGACGAUCCGUAACUGGUCUGGGUGGAGGAUCAGUAACACUGGAACUGAGACACGGUCCAGACUCCUACGGGAGGCAGCAGUGGGGAAUAUGUGACAAUGGGCGAAAGCCUGAUCCAGCCAUGCCGCGUGUGUGAAGAAGGUCUUCGGAUUGUAAAGCACUUUAAGUUGGGAGGCGUUACCAACAGAAUAAGCACCGGCUAACUUCGUGCCAGCAGCCGCGGUAAUUC
rnacentral:rRNA from 1 species